rnacentral:rRNA from 1 species
UGGGGGAAUAUUGCACAAUGGGGGGAAGCCCUGAUGCAGCAACGCCGCGUGAAGGAAGACGGUCUUCGGAUUGUAAACUUUUGUUCUUGGUGAAGAAGAAUGACGGUAGCCAAGGAGGAAGCCACGGCUAACUACGUGCCAGCAGCCGCGGUAAUACGUAGGUGGCAAGCGUUGUCCGGAAUUACUGGGUGUAAAGGGAGCGCAGGUGGGAAGACAAGUUGGAAGUGAAAUCCAUGGGCUCAACCCAUGAACUGCUUUCAAAACUGUUUUUCUUGAGUAGUGCAGAGGUAGGCGGAAUUCCCGGUGUAGCGGUGGAAUGCGUAGAUAUCGGGAGGAACACCAGUGGCGAAGGCGGCCUACUGGGCACCAACUGACGCUGAGGCUCGAAAGUGUGGGUAGCAAACAGGAUUAGAUACCCUGGUAGU